AUUUAUAUAGUUUAAAAAAACAUUACAUUUUCACUGUAAAAUUAGAAAAUUUUCUUAUAAAUA
rnacentral:tRNA from 1 species